GUUCAACACACGCUAGUAACCAAGAAUAAUUGAAUGGCAAACGCGAAUAGCGUACGUCUUUUUGAAACAUAUCGUCCAUAGACCAUCGGGGAUUUAAGAAAAUAUCCGCGAAUGUGUCGAAGUGAAAGAGCACCGGGAAACUAUCAGGAUGUCACGGAAGAUGGCUAUUAAAACAUCAGAGUAGUUACUUCCUUAAGGAAAGUGGGGCACUGGAAUUCAGGAAGACGCCGAAAUGGAGGAGACAACCAUCUGACAACAACACAAAAAUGUCAAGAGAUGAAGGAAACCUGUAUUUUUCAAGUGUGAGCGCAACUUUUGUAUUAAUUAUAUUAUAAUGCAAUA